rnacentral:rRNA from 1 species
CUUGGUCAUUUAGAGGAAGUAAAAGUCGUAACAAGGUUUCCGUAGGUGAACCUGCGGAAGGAUCAUUAUUGAAAUAAACCUGAUGAGUUGYUGCUGGUUCUCUAGGGAGCAAUGUGCACACUUGUCAUYUUUGUAUCUUCACCUGUGCAUCUUUUGUAGACCUGACUAUCUCUCUGAAUGCUUAUGGCACUCAGGAUUGAGAAUUGACUUCUUGUCUUUUCUUAUAUGUUAGGUCUAUGUUUCUUCAUAUACCCUAUGUAUGUUUAUAGAAUGUAAUCAAUGGGCCUUUGUGCCUAUAAACCUUUACAACUUUCAGCAACGGAUCUCUUGGCUCUCGCAUCGAUGAAGAACGCAGCGAAAUGCGAUAAGUAAUGUGAAUUGCAGAAUUCAGUGAAUCAUCGAAUCUUUGAACGCACCUUGCGCUCCUUGGUAUUCCGAGGAGCAUGCCUGUUUGAGUGUCAUUAAUAUAUCAACCUUUUUGGGUUGGAUGUGGGUUUGCUGGCCUUUUGAGGUCAGCUCCCCUUAAAUGCAUUAGCGGACAACAUUUUGCCAACUGUUCAUUGGUGUGAUAAUUAUCUACGCUAUUGACMUGAAGCAAWRGUUCAGCUUCUAAUAGUCCAUUGACUUGGACAACUCUUAUUUAUUAAUUUGACCUCAAAUCAGGUAGGACUACCCGCUGAACUUAAGCAUAUCAAUAA